GUAGGAAACAUCAUUACUUAAGGUAUACAGUCUCUUAACUCAAUAAUAAUACAAUAAUAAAAUAGAUGCUUAAUAAAAUAAAAAAUAAAAUAAUAAUAUAAUAAAAUAAAAAUAGUAUAAAAUAAUAAUAUAAUAAAAUAAAAAUAUAAUAAUAUUAAAUAAAAAUUAAAUAAAUAAUAAAAUAAAAAUGAAGUAAUAAAAUGAAAAAAUAAUAAUAAAAAUACAAUAAUACUGAAAUAAAAAACAAAAAUAAUAUAAAUGAAAUACAAAAUCGAAUACUAUGAAAAUACAAAUGUUAAAUAGAUAAAAUAUAAUGAAUUAUAAAAUGAAGAAAAAUAAAUAAAUAAAUAUAAUACAACAAAAUCACCUAAUUGGCUUGGGACACACACCAAGGUUUGAUCAACCUUGGCUGGGCCUCUCCUCAGGUGAGGGUGUCUAGUGAGAAAUGGCCGAAACACCCUGUGAUCCUGGGGUCCACUACUGAGGAUGUGUCUUACAAUUUGGACUUAGUCCACAUAGAACCUUAUGGGAAACCAGAUGAGAUCUCAUCCCAAUACAGGAAAAAUAAAGAAAAAACAAAACAGAUACCCCAUAAACAGGGGAAAUAUAAAACAAUGUUACUGCAAUCCAAGAAGUAUACAAGGGAAUGACAUCUAAUAUAAGGAAAACAUGAAAAACAAAAGGAGAAACUAACCAAAAUAUCCCACAAACAGGGGAAAUAAUAAAACAAUGUUACUGCAAUCCAAGAUGUAAACAAGGGAAUGACAUCCAAUAUAAGAAAAACAUGAAAAACAGAAGAAGAAACCAACCGGAAUAUCCCAGAAACAGGGGAAAGAAUAAAACAAUGUUACUACAAUCCAAGAUGUAUACAAGGGAAUGACAUCCAACAUAAGAAAAACAUGAAAAACAAAAGAAGAAACCAACCGAAAUAUCCCAGAAACAGGGGAAAUAAUAAAACAAUGUUACUGCAAUCCAGGAUGUAUACAAGGGAAUGACAUCCAAUAUAAGAAAAACAUGAAAAACAGAAAAAAAAGCAAAAGAAGAAAUCAACCAAAAUAUCCCAUAAACAAGGGAAAUGCUGAAACACUGAUACUACAAUCCAAGAAGAAUACAAGGAAAUAACAUCCAAUAUAGGGUAAGUUAUGGAAAACAGACAUUAGCAAACAUAAUGAUAACUAGACACAAUAUAUAUUCUAUCUAUCUCUCUUCUCCCUUCCUUCCCUCAUGUAUAUCCAUGUAUAUGAGGGAGUGGGGGGAGGUAGAGUCACAAGCCCUGUCGGGCGGGGGAGAGUUCUCAGUCCUGACGGGCGGCCUCUCCUUACUCUACCUCUCUCAUCCUCCUUACUCUACCUCUCUCAUCCUCCUUACUCUAUCUCUCUCAGACAUCGGCAAGCAGAAUGAUAACUAGAGAAAAAUAGACUAAUCCUAAUUCUAGUUUAAAGGGGGUAGGAAGUGACCAGACUGUGGAUCCAAUUGAGACGGCCAGUGCACUGCCUUUGGCUCUCCUUAACUGCCCAGUCGUCGGACGAAGCAGGGAGUGUCAUCGAGAUAACACAAAUACCUAACCCUAGCCCGAGCCUCGAACCCACCAGCUCUCGGUUAUAUCAUGAAUCACUACCCUCACCAAUUCUUGCUUGCAGAAAUAUAUGACUAAAAAAUAAAAAAAUAAAUAAAAAAUAUACAUAUUUUUUAAACCAUCUCUCCUCUCUUCCUUCAUGAGAGUGAAGGAAUGGGGGAGGUGGGACGUCCAGCCCUGUCGGGUAGGGGAGUGUUCAGAAUCCUGUCGGAGGCCACACUCUAGUCCUACUUCCUCCGCCUCCUAACAUCUCUCUCUCCUUUUUUUCUCUCUCUCUCACUCUCUCUCUCUCCCUCCCUCUCCCUCUCUCACUGUCUACCUUGUGCUUUCUUAGCUAAUCCAGGGACAGUUUAAUUUUAUGAUAACCUUACCUUUAUAUCUGCCCUAAACCUAAGGUUAGUGGAUUCUAAAUCCUAACCCUAGCCCUUAGCUUAGCCCUAACCGUAAAGUUAGUGGAUCUGAAAACCUAAUCCUAACCCUAAAGUUAGUGGAAUGUAAAACCUAACCCUAACCCUAAUCCUAACCCUAAAAUUAGUGGAUUUUAAACCUAACCCUAACCCUAAUCCUAACCCUAAAAUUAGUGGAUUUUAAACCUAACCCUAACCCUAAUCCUAACCCUAAAAUUAGUGAAUUUUAAACCUAACCCUAACCCUAGCUUCUAACCCUAACCGUAAAGUUAGUAUAGUUUAAAAUCUAACCCUAACCCUUUAACCUAACCCUAGUUUUAAAAUCUAAGGCAAUACAUGCCUUAACCAGAAAAAAGGAAAACAAAAAAUAUUGCAAUACAUACCUCGACCAGCAGGGGGCAAAAUUCACCCAGUUAGUCACUAAAAGUUAAGGGUAACUAUAUAACUCUAAAAAUAAAUUAAAUACAUGAAUAAAAUGUAAUUGUGUAAUUUAUUGUAAUACAAUCCUUGACCAACAGGGGGCAAAAUUCACCCUGUGAGUCACUAAAAGCUAAGUGCACUAAUAUAACUCUAAAAAUAAAUUAAAUACAUGAACAAAAUGUAAUUAUGUAAUUUAUUGUAAUACACACCUUGACCAACAGGGGGCAAAAUCCACCCUGUUAGUCACUAAAAGUUAAGUGUAAUUAUAUAACUCUAAAAAUAAAUUAAAUACAUGAAUAAAAUGUAAUUGUGUAAUUUAUUGCAAUACAAUCAUUGACCAGCAGGGGGCAAACUUUACUCUGCAGGUCACUAAAAGCUAAGUGUAAUAAUAACCCUUUAAAAAACAAAUGAAAUGCAUUAAUAAAAUGUAAUUGUGUAAUUUAUUGCAAUACAAUCAUUGACCAGCAGGGGGCAAACUUCACUCUGCAGGUCACUAAAAGCUAAGUGUAAUAAUAACCCUUUAAAAACAAAUGAAAUUCAUUAAUAAAAUGUAAUUGGGUAAUUUAUUGCAAUACAAUCAUUGACCAGCAGGGGGCAAACUUUACUCUGCAUGUCACUAAAAGCUAAGGGUAAUAAUAACCCUUUAAAAACAAAUGAAAUGCAUGAAUAAAAUGUAAUUUGGAAACGUAAUGUAAUACUCACCUUGACCAGCAGGGGGCAAAUUCGCCUUUAAAGGGCAUUGUAACCUAUUAAACUUAAUAAUUACAUCUUUUAACUUAAUAAUAAUAUCACAAGAGUUAGUUGACUUACAAAACACUCAAUAACCCACCCAUUUGGAAUGAAAAAAUAGGAUAAAGUACAGUAAAAAGAGAUAAAAUAAGUGAAUUAAGUUGGAUUUGAAACAAAACCAUGAGUGAGAAGGGUUGCAGGGAACUAUAGGACCCAUACACACCAAUGAUCUAUAUACCAGAUCUAUAGCUGUGCGGUGUAUGAAGCAUGGACUGGCCUACAGAGAGACAGAGAGGGACUUCCUUCAGGCUCAAUUAAGUGAGUACAAACUUUAUUCAAUAAUAUAAUUUUAAAUAUAAUUCUUAUACUUUUUAAAAAACAAAAUACUACAUAAUAUUGAAGAAUUAACAUGGAUUAAAUUUACAAUACAAAUUAAAAAGCAUAUAUAUAAGAGAUAAGUAUUUUAUUAUUAAUCUUAAAAUAAAUUAUAACUCUGAAAAUCAAUUAAAUCCAUAAAAAGUACAUUAUUAAAGACAUAAUGCAAUAUAAAACUUGACCAGCAGAGGGCAGAAUUCACCCAGCAAUUCUUCUAAAAGGUAAGUCUAAUAAUAUAACUCAAAAAACAAUGUCAAUUCAUCAAUAAAAUUACAAUUUUUUGGGGGUGCAAUACAUACCUCGACCAGCAGAGGGCAAACCUCGCCUAUAGGAAACAUCAUUACUUAAGGUAUACAGUCUCUUAACUCAAUAAUAAUACAAUAAUAAAAUAGGUGCUUAAUAAAAUAAAAAAUAAAAUAAUAAAUUAAUAAAAUAAAAAUAGCAUAAAAUAAUAAUAUAAUAAAAUAAAAAUAUAAUAAUAUUAAAUAAAAAUUAAAUAAAUAAUAGAAUAAAAAUGAAGUAAUAAAAUGAAAAAAUAAUAAUAAAAAUACAAUAAUACUGAAAUAAAAAACAAAAAUAAUAUAAAUGAAAUACAAAAUCGAAUACUAUGAAAAUACAAAUGUUAAAUAGAUAAAAUAUAAUGAAUUAUAAAAUGAAGAAAAAUAAAUAAAUAAAUAUAAUACAACAAAAUCACCUAAUUGGCUUGGGACACACACCAAGGUUUGAUCAACCUUGGCUGGGCCUCUCCUCAGGUGAGGGUGUCUAGUGAGAAAUGGCCGAAACACCCUGUGAUCCUGGGGUCCACUACUGAGGAUGUGUCUUACAAUUUGGACUUAGUCCACAUAGAACCUUAUGGGAAACCAGAUGAGAUCUCAUCCCAAUACAGGAAAAAUAAAGAAAAAACAAAACAGAUACCCCAUAAACAGGGGAAAUAUAAAACAAUGUUACUGCAAUCCAAGAAGUAUACAAGGGAAUGACAUCUAAUAUAAGGAAAACAUGAAAAACAAAAGGAGAAACUAACCAAAAUAUCCCAGAAACAGGGGAAAUAAUAAAACAAUGUUACUGCAAUCCAAGAUGUAAACAAGGGAAUGACAUCCAAUAUAAGAAAAACAUGAAAAACAGAAGAAGAAACCAACCAGAAUAUCCCAGAAACAAGGGAAAUAAUAAAACAAUGUUACUACAAUCCAAGAUGUAUACAAGGGAAUGACAUCCAACAUAAGAAAAACAUGAAAAACAAAGAAGAAACCAACCAAAAUAUCCCAGAAACAGGGGAAAUAAUAAAACAAUGUUACUGCAAUCCAGGAUGUAUACAAGGGAAUGACAUCCAAUAUAAGAAAAACAUGAAAAACAGAAAAGAAGCAAAAGAAGAAAUCAACCAAAAUAUCCCAUAAACAAGGGAAAUGCUAAAACACUGAUACUACAAUCCAAGAAGAAUACAAGGAAAUAACAUCCAAUAUAGGGUAAGUUAUGGAAAACAGACAUUAGCAAACAUAAUGAUAACUAGACACAGUAUAUAUUCUAUCUAUCUCUCUUCUCCCUUCCUUCCCUCAUGUAUAUCCAUGUAUAUGAGGGAGUGGGGGGAGGUAGAGUCACAAGCCCUGUCGGGCGGGGGAGAGUUCUCAGUCCUGACGGGCGGCCUCUCCUUACUCUACCUCUCUCAUCCUCCUUACUCUACCUCUCUCAUCCUCCUUACUCUAUCUCUCUCAGACAUCGGCAAGCAGAAUGACAACUAGAGAAAAAUAGACUAAUCCUAAUUCUAGUUUAAAGGGGGUAGGAAGUGACCAGACUGUGGAUCCAAUUGAGACGGCCAGUGCACUGCCUUUGGCUCUCCUUAACUGCCCAGUCGUCGGACGAAGCAGGGAGUGUCAUCGAGAUAACACAAAUACCUAACCCUAGCCCGAGCCUCGAACCCACCAGCUCUCGGUUAUAUCAUGAAUCACUACCCUCACCAAUUCUUGCUUGCAGAAAUAUAUGACUAAAAAAUAUAAAAAAUAAAAAAUAUACAUAUUUUUUAAACCAUCUCUCCUCUCUUCCUUCAUGAGAGUGAAGGAAUGGGGGAGGUGGGACGUCCAGCCCUGUCGGGUAGGGGAGUGUUCAGAAUCCUGUCGGAGGCCACACUCUAGUCCUACUUCCUCCGCCUCCUAACAUCUCUCUCUCCUUUUUUUCUCUCUCUCUCACUCUCUCUCUCUCCCUCCCUCUCCCUCUCUCACUGUCUACCUUAUGCUUUCUUAGCUAAUCCAGGGACAGUUUAAUUUUAUUAUAACCUUACCUUUAUAUCUGCACUAAACCUAAGGUUAGUGGAUUCUAAAUCCUAACCCUAACCCUUAGCUUAGCCCUAACCGUAAAGUUAGUGGAUCUGAAAACCUAAUCCUAACCCUAAGGUUAGUGGAAUGUAAAACCUAACCCUAACCCUAAUCCUAACCCUAAAAUUAGUGGAUUUUAAACCUAACCCUAACCCUAAUCCUAACCCUAAAAUUAGUGGAUUUUAAACCUAACCCUAACCCUAAUCCUAACCCUAAAAUUAGUUAAUUUUAAACCUAACCCUAACCCUAGCUUCUAACCCUAACCGUAAAGUUAGUAUAGUUUAAAAUCUAACCCUAACCCUUUAACCUAACCCUAGUUUUAAAAUCUAAGGCAAUACAUGCCUUAACCAGAAAAAAGGAAAACAAAAAAUACUGCAAUACAUACCUCGACCAGCAGGGGGCAAAAUUCACCCGGUUAGUCACUAAAAGUUAAGGGUAACUAUAUAACUCUAAAAAUAAAUUAAAUACAUGAAUAAAAUGUAAUUGUGUAAUUUAUUGUAAUACAAUCCUUGACCAACAGGGGGCAAAAUUCACCCUGUGAGUCACUAAAAGCUAAGUGCACCAAUAUAACUCUAAAAAUAAAUUAAAUACAUGAACAAAAUGUAAUUAUGUAAUUUAUUGUAAUACACACCUUGACCAACAGGGGGCGAAAUCCACCCUGUUAGUCACUAAAAGUUAAGUGUAAUUAUAUAACUCUAAAAAUAAAUUAAAUACAUGAAUAAAAUGUAAUUGUGUAAUUUAUUGCAAUACAAUCAUUGACCAGCAGGGGGCAAACCUUACUCUGCAGGUCACUAAAAGCUAAGUGUAAUAAUAACCCUUUAAAAACAAAUUAAAUGCAUUAAUAAAAUGUAAUUGGGUAAUUUAUUGCAAUACAAUCAUUGACCAGCAGGGGGCAAACUUUACUCUGCAGGUCACUAAAAGCUAAGGGUAAUAAUAACCCUUUAAAAACAAAUGAAAUGCAUUAAUAAAAUGUAAUUGGGUAAUUUAUUGCAAUACAAUCAUUGACCAGCAGGGGGCAAACUUUACUCUGCAUGUCACUAAAAGCUAAGUGUAAUAAUAACCCUUUAAAAACAAAUGAAAUUCAUUAAUAAAAUGUAAUUGGGUAAUUUAUUACAAUACAAUCAUUGACCAGCAGGGGGCAAACUUUACUCUGCAUGUCACUAAAAGCUAAGGGUAAUAAUAACCCUUUAAAAACAAAUGAAAUGCAUGAAUAAAAUGUAAUUUGGAAACGUAAUGUAAUACUCACCUUGACCAGCAGGGGGCAAAUUCGCCUUUAAAGGGCAUUGUAACCUAUUAAACUUAAUAAUUACAUCUUUUAACUUAAUAAUAAUAUCACAAGAGUUAGUUGACUUACAAAACACUCAAUAACCCACCCAUUUGGAAUGAAAAAAUAGGAUAAAGUACAGUAAAAAGAGAUAAAAUAAGUGAAUUAAGUUGGAUUUGAAACAAAACCAUGAGUGAGAAGGGUUGCAGGGAACUAUAGGACCCAUACACACCAAUGAUCUAUAUACCAGAUCUAUAGCUGUGCGGUGUAUGAAGCAUGGACUGGCCUACAGAGAGACAGAGAGGGACUUCCUUCAGGCUCAAUUAAGUGAGUACAAACUUUAUUCAAUAAUAUAAUUUUAAAUAUAAUUCUUAUACUUUUUAAAAAACAAAAUACUACAUAAUAUUGAAGAAUUAACAUGGAUUAAAUUUACAAUACAAAUUAAAAAGCAUAUAUAUAAGAGAUAAGUAUUUUAUUAUUAAUCUUAAAAUAAAUUAUAACUCUGAAAAUCAAUUAAAUCCAUAAAAAGUACAUUAUUAAAGACAUAAUGCAAUAUAAAACUUGACCAGCAGAGGGCAGAAUUCACCCAGCAAUUCUUCUAAAAGGUAAGUCUAAUAAUAUAACUCAAAAAACAAUGUCAAUUCAUCAAUAAAAUUACAAUUUUUUGGGGGUGCAAUACAUACCUCGACCAGCAGAGGGCAAACCUCGCCUAUAGGAAACAUCAUUACUUAAGGUAUACAGUCUCUUAACUCAAUAAUAAUACAAUAAUAAAAUAGGUGCUUAAUAAAAUAAAAAAUAAAAUAAUAAAUUAAUAAAAUAAAAAUAGCAUAAAAUAAUAAUAUAAUAAAAUAAAAAUAUAAUAAUAUUAAAUAAAAAUUAAAUAAAUAAUAGAAUAAAAAUGAAGUAAUAAAAUGAAAAAAUAAUAAUAAAAAUACAAUAAUACUGAAAUAAAAAACAAAAAUAAUAUAAAUGAAAUACAAAAUCGAAUACUAUGAAAAUACAAAUGUUAAAUAGAUAAAAUAUAAUGAAUUAUAAAAUGAAGAAAAAUAAAUAAAUAAAUAUAAUACAACAAAAUCACCUAAUUGGCUUGGGACACACACCAAGGUUUGAUCAACCUUGGCUGGGCCUCUCCUCAGGUGAGGGUGUCUAGUGAGAAAUGGCCGAAACACCCUGUGAUCCUGGGGUCCACUACUGAGGAUGUGUCUUACAAUUUGGACUUAGUCCACAUAGAACCUUAUGGGAAACCAGAUGAGAUCUCAUCCCAAUACAGGAAAAAUAAAGAAAAAACAAAACAGAUACCCCAUAAACAGGGGAAAUAUAAAACAAUGUUACUGCAAUCCAAGAAGUAUACAAGGGAAUGACAUCUAAUAUAAGGAAAACAUGAAAAACAAAAGGAGAAACUAACCAAAAUAUCCCAGAAACAGGGGAAAUAAUAAAACAAUGUUACUGCAAUCCAAGAUGUAAACAAGGGAAUGACAUCCAAUAUAAGAAAAACAUGAAAAACAGAAGAAGAAACCAACCAGAAUAUCCCAGAAACAAGGGAAAUAAUAAAACAAUGUUACUACAAUCCAAGAUGUAUACAAGGGAAUGACAUCCAACAUAAGAAAAACAUGAAAAACAAAGAAGAAACCAACCAAAAUAUCCCAGAAACAGGGGAAAUAAUAAAACAAUGUUACUGCAAUCCAGGAUGUAUACAAGGGAAUGACAUCCAAUAUAAGAAAAACAUGAAAAACAGAAAAGAAGCAAAAGAAGAAAUCAACCAAAAUAUCCCAUAAACAAGGGAAAUGCUAAAACACUGAUACUACAAUCCAAGAAGAAUACAAGGAAAUAACAUCCAAUAUAGGGUAAGUUAUGGAAAACAGACAUUAGCAAACAUAAUGAUAACUAGACACAGUAUAUAUUCUAUCUAUCUCUCUUCUCCCUUCCUUCCCUCAUGUAUAUCCAUGUAUAUGAGGGAGUGGGGGGAGGUAGAGUCACAAGCCCUGUCGGGCGGGGGAGAGUUCUCAGUCCUGACGGGCGGCCUCUCCUUACUCUACCUCUCUCAUCCUCCUUACUCUACCUCUCUCAUCCUCCUUACUCUAUCUCUCUCAGACAUCGGCAAGCAGAAUGACAACUAGAGAAAAAUAGACUAAUCCUAAUUCUAGUUUAAAGGGGGUAGGAAGUGACCAGACUGUGGAUCCAAUUGAGACGGCCAGUGCACUGCCUUUGGCUCUCCUUAACUGCCCAGUCGUCGGACGAAGCAGGGAGUGUCAUCGAGAUAACACAAAUACCUAACCCUAGCCCGAGCCUCGAACCCACCAGCUCUCGGUUAUAUCAUGAAUCACUACCCUCACCAAUUCUUGCUUGCAGAAAUAUAUGACUAAAAAAUAUAAAAAAUAAAAAAUAUACAUAUUUUUUAAACCAUCUCUCCUCUCUUCCUUCAUGAGAGUGAAGGAAUGGGGGAGGUGGGACGUCCAGCCCUGUCGGGUAGGGGAGUGUUCAGAAUCCUGUCGGAGGCCACACUCUAGUCCUACUUCCUCCGCCUCCUAACAUCUCUCUC